rnacentral:lncRNA from 1 species
CACCUGUUGCAUUUUGUAAUGUAAGUACAUUAACAGUAUUUUCAAAUGUAAAUACAUACAUGUAUUUGUGAAGUCAUAAUUGAUAGCAAAGUAAGUGUUGUACCAUUUUAUUAAGCAAAAUGAGAUUUCGAGCUUCAUUUACAUUGUAUCAUGUCUAAGACAUUAGCAUUGUAUAAGUUUUAAACAUAACUGAACAUGCAAUGCCAUAAUAAUAAUGAGAUAUUAUCAAUAUUUUCAUGAUUUUUUAAAACAAUUGUAAGAUGCUUUUUUUUUUUACUCGUGUGGUUGUAUUUACCAUUAGUUGAUUAAUAAAAAUUUAACAACUUCUAGAUAAUUUCAAAUUUUGAUCUUUCUCUGAAAAUAUUUCUAUCAAAACUUUUUAUUUUUAACACUGUCAUGACUGUAUAAUACUAUGUAAAUGGUAAAAAUCAAAUAUCGUCAUAAUAAAAUUAUACACAAUGCUUUUCAAUAUUAAAAUGAUAGCAUACGCAGCACAUAUAUGACUUUGGAAUACCGUACGACAUUUCUUGUUAAUAGUGAAUAAAAAGGUAAGACUUGCUACACAGAGAAACAAGUAAUCCGUAUGAUGGAGUUUCUAAUUGAUAACUAUUGUUGAGUUUGGAGGUAGGCUUAUUCAGCAAAUUGUCAAAAACUAAAGAAAUCCAGGAAGGCUUGAUCAUUUAAUUUCACAUUCAGAUAUAUUGGUAAUGUCAUUUUCAUGAACUAUCCAAACUUUUCUGAUUUUGAUUUUAAAAUUACCAACUUCCGACACCUAAGUAGCAAUAUACCUAUUUCACCUGCAUAUGGUUUAAUCAUUGUUCAACUCAUUCGGUAUUCAAGAGCUUGCAGUUGCUACUCAGACUUUAUAUAAGUGUGUGAACAGAAAGUUGCCGAACCAGGGUAAUGUCAAAGAACGUCUUGUCCAUUUUUUAAAUAGUUCAUUGGAAGAUACCAAGACCUUCUUAAUAAAUAUUCCGUAAGCGGUGACAAACAAUACAUGGUGGUCUUCGAGUAUAGAUACUUACGUUAUUUAUCAUCUUAAUAACGUAUUUUAGUCUUCCUUUAUGUACAUUGUAUUUUUGUUAAUUAAUAACCUUGUGUAAGUCCGUUUUGGUAAAAUAAAUAUCCUUUUGCAGUGAAUCGGUACUUAUACAUCCCACCAUUGUGUUAUUGUGCUGUGGCCGUUAUUUUUCUUAUCAUUGUCGUUAAUUUUUGCCUAUAAUACUUGCCUAUAUGUAAUGAUGUUUUGUUUUUUUACAUAUUUGUUUGUUACUAUUAUAGUGAUGAAGAUUAUAAUACAAUGUUGACUGAUGUAUCUCUUUUAUUUGCAUUUUUACCUUUUAUGUCUUUCCAUUUUGAUUACAUAAUGUUGUCAAUGGAAUGACAUUAUAUUCCACUGUCAAACAAGUGAAAUAUUUAGCUAGCUAUACAACGAAAUGCUUGUUCCAAGUCAGGAAUGUGACAGUUGUUUUCAAUUUGAUUGGUGACUUUGAUAUUUUGAUUUUGUCAUUUGAAGAGGGAAUUCCCGAUUUAAAUUUUCCUUGGAGCUCGGUAUUUUUGUUGAAUUACUUUUUUUAAUCCUUAAGAAAAGAAUGAUCCAAAAAGAACAGUUAAAACUUACUGAAGUAAAAGUGAAAUUUGCCUAACAAAAUAGCAAUGAUUGUUAUAGACUGGCGAAAGAAACAAAAGUGACAUUCAAACUCAUUAAUCGAAAAUAAUAGAUAUCGAGCAUUGUUUUUUCUUCUUGAAGUUGUUUGAAUAGUUGUAUUGUGCUACACAUUCUUGUCGGAUGUUAUGCUUUUGAGCUUUGUCUACUUGUACUAUUAUCAAAAUUUGAUAUGUUUGACUUUAUAUAAAAUGGUUUUGAAAUAUUAAGAAUGUAAUUUUUCAUUUUGCCAUUUGAUUUGGGACUUUCCGUUUUGAGUUUUCCUCGGAGCUCUGUAUUUUUGUUAUUUUACUUUUUUCCUAGUUAUAAUGUCUCGCAUUGAUAGACGUUAAACUUAUUUUACAGUUGAUUUGACUUUCUUUUAUCAAUUUGAAGUAUUUUUUACAAGAAAAUAUGUUGUGAAUGAAAUCAACUUAAACAGUCAGCUCGUUUUCUUUGAAUUGGUAUUUAAAUGACAUUUUAAAGUGAUUUUUUUUCAAGGAAUUCAGUUAAUUUAUAUAAUGCAAGCAAUUUGUGAGUCGUUAUGUAUAGACAUUUUAAGACUAAUGUAAAUUGAAAGUCUAACAAAAAAAAGAGAAAAAGAAACUCAUUACUUUGAUUUCAAAUAUUGAAUUUUAUCAGGGACAAACUAUUUUUAAAAAGGUGUAUAUUUAUUGUAGAGAACUAAAGAAGAAGAAUGACAGUGUUUCUUGGUUUAGCCGUUUGCCUGUUGUUGGUGUACGUGGUAGAUAAGAAAAUAAGAACCUCUUUCAGAUUUAACGAAUGAUUGAUUGUAAUUUGAAAAUGCGGUUUCUCUCGGAAAGAGUCUUAUAUACAGAAAAACGAUUUCAUAUGAAUGGCUGGAGAAUUCUUUUGAUUAUUUCACAGUGAGAAAUAAAAUUCUGUAUUGACAUUGUUUUUGUCUUGUCUUGUCUUGUCUUGUCUUGUUUUUACAUUUGUUUUUUAUACCGUAACAUGCGUUAGUUUUUGACCGCAUUAUAACUGUUUUUGUUUCGUCGAUUUCUAAAUAAAUGAUUAUGAAUAUGAAUGAGAAAGAUAAUAGGUAAUAGGUAAUACGCAUAUGAAGCAGCAACCAACACAAACAUUUAAACAACAUCUAGUAAUUAAUGUGACCAUGAUAAUGUUUAUUCUGUUAACUGCAAUCUCACUGUUGGUAUUAAAAGCAUAAUAAUUCAAGUAAUCUCUUUUUAUCUUCUUUUAUGUACCUUUAUGUAACUUUGUAAGUCCAUUCAUCGUUAGGACAAGGCGUCGGUUGAAAUAGAAAAAAGUCAACCCCCGCCACUUUAUUUGUAUGUCCCCAGUCAGGAACUGGAAGUCGUAGCUAAAUAUUGUUUUUUUUUUGUUUUUUUUUUAUUUGACGAAUUAAGUGUUGAACGUUGGUCUCUAAUUGUUUCAGUUAAAUUGAUUCUCGUCUGUUAUGAACUUCAGAGUUUCACAAAUUGUGAAGAAAUUUAUAUACUGUUGAAGCCUGCAUGCUAAGCCGUAGAGGUCAUGUUUACUUAUUGGGACGACGUACAAUUGACGUAUAGACAACACCUCCUUCCAAGUCUCUUUUUAUUAUUAUUUCUUUUAGGAAAGGGGGUACAGUGAUGAGGGGAAUGACAAUUUGAGAAAUGCAAAAAAGGGGAAUGAUCCCUCUUUUACUCAAACCAAAAACAGAUAUGAAACAGACCGUUACUCUACAGACAAAAUUGAGAAUUAAAAUGUGUCAAAGAGACGACAAUUCGACCAAAGAGCUGAAAACAACCCCAGGCCACAAAUGGCUCUUUAACAAAGCCAGUAAACCUGCACCCGGAGGCGGGUUUUAGCUGGCUGUUUAACAAAAAUGUGUACUAGUUCAGAGAAAAUGGACGUCACACUAAACUCACAAACAUAUAGAUGAAUCAAAAUUUAAAAAAAAAACAUACAAAACUAACAAAAGCCAGAGGUUCCUGACUAAGAACAGGCGCAAAUAUGCGUCAGGGUUUAACAUGUUUUGUGAGAUCUCAACCCUCCCAAUACUUCUAGCCAAUGUAGUAUAAAUAAAACACACAGCAAAACGCACAGUAAAACUCAGUUAAAAAGAAGUCCCGAGUCCGAUGUUAGAAUAGGGAACAGAAGAAACUAAGCAAAUUGCAAUGAUCAAAUUGACAAAGGAUUACUAGCAGUUACUGACAUGCCAGCUCCAGAACUGAAUUAAACUAUUUGUAUCAAAAGCAAGCACAAUUCCUCCCUCUAGAUGUUUAUUUCGUACACUAAUCAUAACAGGGUAAUGUCUUUUCAGUUUUGUUGACGUAUGACAAAAAAAUGUAUAACCGGGUCAUGUUAUUGUAUAUAAACAAUACUUUACUUCCGGUCAGCAUGGCAAACGAAGAACUGUUUGAAAACAAUAGCUUUUUUCAUAAGAAAGUGGAGUCGUAUCGCUUGAUUAUUCGAGUUAAUGUAGUGAAGACUCGGUUUGAAGCAAAUGUUAUUGCAAACAAUUAAAAACCAUAGAACUUGCCCCUUUGAAAUAUAUGCACCGGAAUCAUAAACGUAACAUGCAUAUUGUCUUGUUUGUAUUGUAGAUUAUAAUAUCUUUCUUAACAAUACAAAGGCGUGAUUCAUCAAUAUUCUUAGUUGAAAAUUAAUUUCCAACAAAUUAAAUCAGAAAUGCAAUGGUAAAACAUUUUCUAGAAAUAUUCCUUGCGACGUAUAGAUGAAUACCAAAGUUACAAUAAUUAAAAUAUUCUACAAUUUUGCGUAAAACUAAGAAUGAAAAUAAAUAUAACAAAGCGACAAUACAACAACAUACACCUCGAUGGUAAAGAAAAGACAAAAACACCAGUCCUUAAAAAUUUACAAAUGAGCAUAACAUACCCUACUUAAACUGGAGAUGAACUCUUGUGCUUCGGAUAAUAUUGGAUAAGUGAAAAGUUAAUUCACAGUUCGCUAUGCAAUUGUCGUGUUUCUAGUUGCAAUCAAAAGGCAUUUAAUAAGAAACUAUUGCUUUGAUGAUGUGAAAAAUAAGCAUAUGUGCCAAUAAAAUAGCCACAAACAAGAAAAUCACACAAACAAAACCAGCUCUAAAUCAGUUGUAGAAAAGUUGUUGAUAAAAUCAAUUAAGAUGAUUAAAGAUCUGCUAUCCGUCUGUAAACUUCAAACAGAAUCAAGCACACAUCAAUUGAUAAGCAACAUAAAAACAAGAAUUGAUUUCAAUCAAGUAUUAUUUGUAUCACACUUGAUUGAAACCGUUGCUGGUUAACUAUACGCAUCCACGAAUGCAUCAUCAGCUCAGUAUUCAGUAACUUUUCUACUUUUACCUUUCUAAAAUUGACCGUUCAUUUAUGUAACCCUCAAUAAGUUUUUUUCAAUUAAAUGUUCAUAAAUCAAAAAAUUAUUAAGAAAUUUAGUUUCAAACUCCGGCAAAGUAGGUCUCUUUUCAACAUAUACUUUCAUAUAGUUUUUUGUAGCGUUCCUAAAGAAGACAAGUUACAUUUGUCUCUAUACAACUAAAUGAUAUAUAUCUCCUUCAGAAUGUAGUCUCAAAAAUGUUGAUAGUUAUUAUAAUAGAUAAUGCUAUUAGAACUAAUACAUUACGCGGUCCUGCAACAAACGAUGCAAUAUCGAUUUCUACCUGAAGUAAUAUGCACACGUAAACACUGAUGUCACCAUAUUGAACGUAUUUAUCCUACUUAUUUUUUUGUUUUUGUUGUAGGCUUGUAAAAAGACAGGGGUGUAACGAACCAUGCAAAAGUAUACAUAACCAUCAUUGCUGUAAGGGUUGGUAUUGCCAUCACCGUAUAUGUGCGCCCAUACAUGUCUAGUGAGUUCGUGAUCCAUUAUCUACAGGGCCUAGCAAUAUUAACAGAACCAUUGAAAUGUAAUCUGUUAUGAGACGUGUAAAAAUUAAUAUCGGAC